GGCAAGGAUGAAUUAAUGCUUCUUCUGACACCUCUUGUAGGAGGGCGGCUAUGGCUGUCCGCUGAACGCAAGCAAUUUUCUGAGUC
rnacentral:snoRNA from 1 species